UCUAGAGUGUAGACCGAUAGUGUGCGAUUUUUUCUAUCGACCUUUUUCGGUUCGAAAACAAGUAUGCGGUUUUCAAAUGCAACCUAUUAUUAUAUAUGUCCAUCGUUCGCGGAAACCCUAAGAGAGCCACGAUGGGUCAGGUUUGACUACGUGAAGGCGCAAUUUAACGUUAACCAUAAUCCACCAUAAUCGUAUAAGAAUCUUUAAAUUUAAAUUUAAAAAAAAAAUAGUUUUACAUGUCUAUUAGAGUAUAAUUAAAAAAUUUACGACUCGUCUAUAAUUGUUUAAGAAUCUUUAAAAACGUAUAUAAUUAAUCUGUCAUGCUGUGAAAGACCGGGCAACUUCUUAUACAGUAAAUAAAUAUUUGAUUAAUGUAGACUACCUACUAUAGCAUUAUUAUACAUAGAUGUUUUAAAAAAUAUAAAAUCAGGUUAUUUUCCAAUGAUUGGCAGAUUAUUAAUUUCCUAUCUGGUAGUAGGUAUAAACAAAUUUAUUAUUGGAUUUCAUCGAUUGAGUUCAUUUGAAGAUGGAUUUCUAAAAAAUAAAAAAUAAAUAAUUAUUAUGACAGUUAUUAUAUAAUAUAAUUUAUAUAUAGGUACUACUACUACUACUAAUAAUAAUAAUAUAAAAUAUUAUCAUACUAAUGUUAUAAAUGGUAUAAUGCAUAUGGAAACAAAUUAAUUAUGUAACUGUUAAAAAAUUAUUCUAAAUCUCCAUAGGAAUCUACCUGCAUAUUAUGCAUUUUUUUUAAAUUUAACAUAUUAUAUUCUCCAUGACCAACAGAUAAUUAAGACAAGUAUGUGUUUAAUUUUAUUUAUUGUCAUAAUUGAAUUAUAUAUUAUAUAUUAUUAUUAGUUUUUUUAAAUAUAAACUACCUGCCUGCCUACCUACCUAUCUAUGUCCUACGUGAUUAUAUUAUUUCUUUUGUUCUUAUCAGAGUAAUAAUAUAAAAAUAUUAUUUCUCAAGCAACUUUAUUUAACUGGCUAAUAACAAAUAUUAGGAACAUGGCAACCUGCAUUAUUAUUAUAUAAGUGAAUAGCAAUUUAAUUCAAUUCAAUUAUUUAGCUAGUCGUUAAAUAUAAACGGACAUAAACAAAUCCUGUUACAUUACAAUCGAAGAAGAUAUCAAAAUCAAGAAGAAGAAAAAAUACGUACACAAAAAUAAUGAAUGUAAUGUUAAUUUUAAUUGUAUUAUUAUAAUUGAUAACAAUAAUACUAUUCAUCGAUUUUGAAAAUAGGAAAUUUCAAUGGAUUUUGGCCCGUUGCAGUUGCACAUACAUUCAAGAGUGUUUUAAUUAUUGUCGUAUACAUAUGUACUUUUCAAUCCAUAUACAACAUAGACUAAAG